AUGGUAUGGUUCAUGCGGCUGAAGUUUGGCAUGCUAUCCACGAGCUGUUUUCUUCUCAGUCCAAAUCACGGGUUUCGGCAUGCUAUCCACGAGCUGUUUUCUUCUCAGUCCAAAUCACGGGUUUCCAACAUCCGUGGUGCACUCAUCAACACAAAGAAACUUGAUAUGACAGCCCAACAAUAUAUCACCAAGAUGAAAGGUUUUGCUUCUGAACUUGCUACUGCGGGAAAGAUUGUUGAUGAUGAUGAACUCAAGGAUUAUAUCAUGAAUGGACUUGAUAGUUCCUAUAAUGGUUUUGUUGCUGCUCUCAAAGUUGUUCCCUCCACAUCUCUCAAUGACAUGUGCUCUCAGCUGCUGUCUUACGAAAGCCGUGAUGCUAUGCUCUCUGUUACUGGUCAAGCUUCCGGGUCGUUUAUGUCCUCUAUUAAUGCUGCUUCUCGUGUUCCGAACCUUGACUCUGCAGGAGGUCCGGCGAAACAGCCAGCAUCAGCACUAUACAUGCCCCCUCAUCAUCCUUCCUACCAGCCGGCCCACCAGUAUCAGCCGGUCGCUCCAUAUGCGCCUGCUCCUCCGGUCGCUCAGUAUGCGCCUGCUCCUCAGUACCCUCCACCGGCUCCAUACAUGUCUCCAUACCACCAGUCGGCUCCUUACAUGCCCCAUCAGUACCCUCCACCAGCUCCAUACCCGCAGCAGUUUGUACCAGUGCCGUAUAUGCAGCCCUACAUGCCUCCUCCACAGCAGCAACAGCGCCCUCAACGUCCUCACCAACAGCAGCAGCAGCAGCAGCGCCCACGUCAGGACCGUCGUCCAAAAGGAGGGCGCAAGGAUCGUCGUGCCACACCAUGGCAGGAAGGUAUCUUCUGCCAAAUUUGCAAAAAGGAAGGUCAUCCGGCUGAUGAGUGCUGGUGGCGCUAUGGUGAUGAUGAUGAUACUGACAAGCCACCAAAGGAGACCAAAGGUGCCUAUGGUGUUGAUAGAAACUGGUAUAUAGACACAGGUGCAACCAAUCAUGUUAAUGGUCAGCUCAACAAGCUCCAUGUUCAUGAACCAUAUCAGGGGCAUGAUCAAGUUAAUACUGCUAGUGGACAAGGAUCAGGCAACGAAGCGCACCGUGUUUAG
rnacentral:rRNA from 1 species